CCAGCAGCCUGUCUUCAGGAAGAAGGUGCAUGGAAACUUGGAAACCUUGCCUGGGAAAUUGGUAUUAUCAUCAUCACUUUACAGUGGAGGAAACAGAAAGCUAGGUUCCCACUAUGUGAUGUAGAAGACCCUGUCUGGCUGGUGACACUGUGGAACUGCUGCU